UUACGAGGCCAUACCGUCCUGCAAAUGCCUGGUACCAUCCAAACUUGGAAGCUAAGCACAGCUGGACCUGGUUAGUACUUGGAUGAGAGACUGCCUUGGAAGACCAGGGGCUGCCAGAC
rnacentral:rRNA from 12 species